rnacentral:rRNA from 1 species
GACGAACGCUGGCGGCGUGCUUAACACAUGCAAGUCGAACGGAAAGGCCCCUUUGGGGGUACUCGAGUGGCGAACGGGUGAGUAACACGUGAGUAACCUGCCCUUGACUUCGGGAUAACUUCAGGAAACUGGGGCUAAUACCGGAUAGGAAUCCUUGCUGCAUGGUGGGGGUUGGAAAGCUUCUGCGGUUUUGGAUGGACUCGCGGCUUAUCAGCUUGUUGGUGGGGUAAUGGCUUACCAAGGCUUUGACGGGUAGCCGGACUGAGAGGGCGACCGGCCACAUUGGGACUGAGAUACGGCCCAGACUCCUACGGGAGGCAGAAGUGGGGAAUAGUGCACAAUGGGCGGAAGCCUGAUGCAGCAACGCCGCGUGCGGGAUGACGGCCUUCGGGUUGUAAACCGCUUUCAGCAGGGGAGAAGCUUGUGGUGACGGUACCUGCAGAAGAAGCACCGGCUAACUACGUG